CCCUUAGAUGUUCUGGGCGGCCCGCGCACUACAUUGGCACUCUCAAUAAGUUCCUAGAUCUAAAACUUUGGGGUAUUCUAUUAAGUGGUGUCGUGACUGGGAUUAACCCUUGCAAUUAUUGGUUACGAACGAGGAAUUCCUUGUAAUCGCGGUUUAUCAGCCCGCGUUGAAUGCGUCCCUGCCCUUUGUACACACCGCCCGUCGCUCCUACCGAUGAAUCGUCCGGUGAGGUUCAUGGAGUGGUGGUUGUUCCAGCUGCUGUCGAAGUGAAAUGGACCUCACGAUUUAGAGGAAGGAGAAGUCGUAACA
rnacentral:rRNA from 1 species